rnacentral:rRNA from 1 species
GACGAACGCUGGCGGCGUGCUUAACACAUGCAAGUCGAACGGUGAAGCGCCUUCCUUUUUGGUGGGUGUGGAUGAGUGGCGAACGGGUGAGUAACACGUGAGUAACCUGCCCCCUUCUUCUGGAUAACCGCAUGAAAGUGUGGCUAAUACGGGAUAUUCUGGGUCUGUCGCAUGAUGGGUCUGGGAAAGAUAUUGUUUCGGUGGGGGAUGGGCUCGCGGCCUAUCAGCUUGUUGGUGGGGUGAUGGCCUACCAAGGCGGUGACGGGUAGCCGGCCUGAGAGGGUGGACGGUCACACUGGGACGGAGGCACGGCCCAGACUCCUACGGGAGGCAGCAGUGGGGAAUAUUGCACAAUGGGCGCAAGCCUGAUGCAGCGACGCCGCGUGAGGGAUGGAGGCCUUCGGGUUGUGAACCUCUUUCGCCAGUGAAGCAGGCCUGCCUCGUUUGUGGGUGGGUUGACGGUAGCUGGAUAAGAAGCGCCGGCUAACUACGUG